UACGAAGGUGGCAAGCGUUACUCGGAAUUACUAGGCGUAAAGGGCAGGUAGGUGGUUUGAUAAGUCUGUUGUGAAAGCUCCCGGCUUAACUGGGAGAGGUCAACAGAAACUAUCAGACUUGAGUGUGGGAGAGGGUACUGGAAUUCCCGGUGUAGCGGUGAAAUGCGCAGAGAUCGGGAGGAACACCGAUGGCGAAAGCAGGUACCUGGACCACUACUGACACUCAGCUGCGAAAGCUAGGGGAG
rnacentral:rRNA from 1 species